rnacentral:lncRNA from 1 species
GUUUAGUGCAACAGAGCAGUGUGAGGUGAAAGGAGCUCCAGGUUGGGAUCUUGUCAUUGUGUGCCCACUCUGGCUGCAAGCUAUAAACAGGAGAAGAAGCAGCAGGAGAAAGCCCUCCAGCAUUUCACAUGGAGAUGUGUUAGCCGGGAUGUGAACACAAGAGUACAAACUACUUCUCCCUGAAAAGAAACCUAUUUCACAGUACAGGGCUACAAAGACAGAAAUGUAGUGACCACUGGAUUUAAUACAAAAGGCAGAUGAGAAGCACUUUUCUACCUAUGUGACGGCUUUGUAUCACCUCCUAUUAGAAACUUCUGCAUCACAGCCAGAAAUCAUGGAAGUAAUUUCCACUAAGUCUCAGAAAGUGGUGAAAUCCUUAAGGGACCUACUGACAUUUCUCACAUUUCCUCACUUUCAAUGAUAAAAUUCUCAGGAAUUAGCUUGUUUGGGCUCAUUGGUUUGAGAGCAGAAAGACAGAUG